AAGACCCCAAUGCGUCGCGGAUG
rnacentral:rRNA from 1 species